rnacentral:lncRNA from 1 species
GGGAUGUGCACUUUUGACUAGGUGGUACUGGUCCUCCUGAAUAGGGGACAUGAAGCUAUGUGGACACUGAGGGUGCUGGGGCUGCUCCACAAAACACACAUUGAUGACUGCGUGUUUAUGAUAAGGACGGGGGAGGAAAAUGCCUGCCAGCUUCUUUGCUCCUGGAGAAGUCCCUCACUGAACUCUGAGGUAAGGAAGGAAUUAUUGUGUGCCUACUAUGUUCUACAUACUGUCCUUGUUGCUGGAAAUUGGCAGCAAAGAAUCAGCAAAGGUAGGAUUUCUUCCUCUAUAGAUUUUAAGGUUAAUAGAAGAAGAAGAAAAAGAAUAAAUAAAGUUAUAAGUAAAUAUGUUCAUAUUGUGUUAAGUUCACAUGGAGGGGCAACCUGAGGCAGGAUGGACAAGGAAGACCUCUUUGAGAACUGACAUUUAUGCACAGCCUUGAAAAAAAAAAAAAAAAAAAGGAGCCACCGGGUGAGGGAGCAGCAAGCAUUGUAGGUAGAGGGAACCAUGCAUGCAAAAACCUGGAGAUAGGAAAGGAAUUGCAGUUUGCAAGCUAAAAAGGAGGCUAGGGUGGCUAUGGUGUGACCAUGGCAGAGAAAAUAUAAUAGAUGAGCUUGGAGAAAUAAGAAAGACUGGGUCAUGGUGUGCUUUUGAGGAGUAUGGAUCUUAUGUUAUAAUGCAAGCUUAAGGAGGGUAUUAAAAGCAACUGAAUUAAAG